AGAAACGCGCGUCUCGGAGGGAAAAUGAAAUCCCCAAAUUUUUUAAACCCCCACCUUCUUCUCCCUCGUCUCCACCCCUCAUCCACAUCCACUACCUCCAAUCCUCAUUGCCUCUUCUAGCCUCAAACUGUGGCGAUGCACCUUCCUUCUCGAAGAAUGCUUCAUUUACCACCAUUGUCCGAUUAUGUGAGCCCAAGGAAUUGACGUAGACGAAGAAAAUUAUAGAUCAAUCGCUUCACAUCAUGUUUAAGGUUAAGGUUUUGAGAUUUCUUCCAAAUCGACCUCACACUAAAUGGUUCGAUCUCCUCUCUUUUUAGAUUGUUCCCUCAACUGAUGCCUCCACCUUCUACCAUCGAUGUUGAUCUUUGAAUUAGCAACAAGAAGCCCUAGGGCCUCCGCCUUCACCCACGUUCUCACAGUCGAUCGUGAAUCGGUUUUCAGUUUCUUCCAAGAUUCAGCCAAUACAGAGGUAGAGGUAUGUUUCGAUUUCGUAUCAAAAGCCUUCACCUUCAGGUGGAACAAAAACCUAGGGAUCAAUUCGAUUAAUCAGUAGCAAAAGUCAGACGUAAUCUCAAAACUUGGCAUGGAAAGAGUCUUGAAAUCCACUUCAGGUUCGUUCAUUAAGUUGCUACUCUCAUCGACACACAAUUAAAUAAGUACCAGCCAAAUAUGCUACAAUAGAGGAUGGUUUCGUGGGUUCUUUCACCUUUACACCAACGAUGGUGGAGCUAGAGAGAGAGCUUAUGGUGUGUAAAAUAAAACAUUCUUACACUAGGGGAUUCAAAUAAAUAGCAUAACCCAAACCCUUUAUGGUAAUUGGGAGCCAAUCAGGGCCAAACGCAACCCUCAGACCACUUUUGCUCUUAAGAAACCUACGGUCGGACAAUUGGUAACCGUGCGGGUGUAAUCGGAUUUUUGUACACUGGUAUGGAGAGCGGGAUGGUUAAGGCUAGGGAUGCAGAUGAUAUUAUUAACAGCGUGGUGGCUGGAUUAGCGAUCGGAGCGCUUUACAAGGCGGAGACUGUUACCAGAGCUAUUGGUGGAAUAGCUGUGGGAUUAGCCAUGACAGGGAAGCAGAUUUUGAAGAGAUACAUACCAAUCUGAGCUUGAUCUGUAUUCAAUUUCAUCUUUACGUUUUUCUACAUUGGUGGAAUAGCGGUGGGAUUAGACAUAUGGUGUAUGUUUUGCUUAUAUACAACAAGAAAGAGAAAUAUAAGUGACUUGAAGCAUCAGGUAUCUUUUCUUACAAAUUCAUAUUAUCUCACUAAUAGAAAAAACAGUGAUCUAAUAUGGUUGAAUAUAUACAUAUAAUACAGAUGAUGAACCGUAUUAGAGGGGAGUAUUAGAUUAAGCAACCUAAUAGAGUAUGGUUAUUUAACCGUACUCUAUAUCCCAUUCUAGCCAUAAAUCAAAACUUCAGAAACACAAUCUAAUACGGUGGUUAUUUAACCGUACUAUAUUACACAUACUUAACUACAAUCUAAUACAAUCACAUAUGCAUAUAACCAUACUAUAUUACACAUACAACAGUACUAUAUUACACCUACAACCGUACUAUAUUGCACAUACAUAACUAAAAUCUAAUACAAUCACACUAUAUAUGAUUGAUUCCCUAUCAGGUGAUCACCUACUAACAUACAAUGGCAUACUAAGAUCCUUACUUUUAGUGUUCCAUCAGGUGAUCACCUACACUGCUAGAAAACAGGAAAGUUUUCUACUCUAAUGAAAUAAGUACAUGUCUUUAACACUAGAGCAGGGUUCCAUCAUCUCCAAUUUGGCUGCAAUACGUCCAACAUAACCUUCCACAACAUUGUUGAGAUAAACAAAAGGUGUGUUUCCGAUCAACUGCAGGUAUAAACAAAGAUCUGUUUGUUAAUACCUUGGGAAAAAUAGCUGACAUACGAUCCAAAAACUUACUUCUGUAAUAUCCACAAACUGCAGUUCCUCCAAAAGACACAAUGUUUGUAACCAUGAGAGAGAGAGAGAGAGAGAGAGUGUGUGUGUGUGUGUGUGUGUGUGUGUGUGUCAUACAUCUUAUGAUAAGCGACCAGGUAAUAUGUUUCUCAUUUCUUGUGAUUUCCGUUUUUGCCCUUGUUUACAUUUCAUUCAUAAACCAGGUUCCAUCUUAUUGGAUUUUCAUUUCUGGUUACUCUCUUUCUAUUGAUGAAUCAAGUAUGACUGGUGAGAGUCACACUGUUGAUUUAAUGGUUGGGUGCAAGGUGGCUGAUGGCUGUAGUACUAUGAUGGCUUCCAUACUCAAUGAGAAAAAUGAUGUCUGACAAAGCAUUGAUUAGGCUAUCUGCCUGUGAAAUGAUGGGUUCUGCAACUACAAUUUGUCGUGAUAAAACUGGAACCUUGAAUUUGAAUUUGUGGGAUAUUUUUCUUUUCUUGAUGACUGGUCGAGGCUUAUAUUUGUGGGAAGAAAAAUGAUCCACCAAAUGACACGUCAGCAUUACCUCCAAAGAUUGUAUCUCUUCUUGUUGAAAGUGUAGCUCACAAUACAACAAGCAGUGUAUUUUCCCCUGAGCUUGGAAUGAAUUUUGAUGUCGUGAGGUCAGAGUGUUCAAUUAUUUAUGCAUCCCCAUUCAACUCAGAGAAAAAACAAGGUGGUGUUGCAGUCAAACGGAUAAUUGUAUGGAAGCAGUCUCUCUACCUUCUCCUUUCCGAAAAUAGUUUGUGCUUUAUGUAUUUUGUUAUUUGGAUUAGGAAGAUUUGUUUUUCUAGUUUGACUCAUGUUAAUAAAAUAACAUUUAAAUGUGAUUUAUUUUGAAUAUUAGUACAAUUAUUUCAUGAAA